UCCGGAUUAGUGUAGGGGUUAACAUACCCCGCUUUCACCGGGGAGCCCCGGGUUCGAUUCCCGGAUCCGGAA
rnacentral:tRNA from 1 species